ensembl:lncRNA
CAAGGGGUUAAGGCGGUAUCGUUCAUAAGUGAUCUGACGAGCCAAAUCGCUUGCGGCGAUCACGCGCCGCUUCCGAUGUUAACCGCCGCGGAACUUCUACUUCCGCGUCACGCACCAGCGUUUAAGAGAGCGUGGCCUCUGCCGUAUGGAGACGACCCGCCCCGCGGUGCUCUCAAACCUUCUGAUUUUUAUCCCGUGAUAAAUAAUUGAUCCCCGCCGGAGCCGAGGAGAAACGGGUCGCACUAGUACCCGCACGACAGCUUCUUCACACGAGCAGGGGUGCUCUGCUUCUCUGAGGCAGAGGGACCCCAGCAGCAGGCUCUUCCAGCACUGGCACAGAUGCAGAUGCAGCAGAGGGCGCCCACCACCUUUCUGCCACCGUUUCUGCUCAAGAGGAUGGUACCAGGAGCCAAAGCCUCAAACGGGGCCAUUUUGGAUGUUGUAGCUAGCUUAAGUUACACUAACAGAUGGCUGAUGUCUUUUGAACUGCAGGUCAAGAGGCCAGAGAGCCAGUGGAGAAAUUCUGAAGUUCUGAGCCAGACCUUCCCCUCACCCCAAGAAGGUGGAAGGGAAUCCGUACACACAUAACGUAGCUCGUCUGCAAGCCUUCUGUGCCAAAUAUCGCCUGCCUGGCUCCCCUCUUACCUGUGCACCAGUGAAAGUGACCAAGCACACUCUUACACUCCGCACUGAUGGAUAUGUUUGCUUUAGCCAAUCAGCAAAGGGAUUUUGCUGGCAUGCAUGUUUUAUUCAUUGUUAUCCCCUGUGUAUAUAUAGCAUUAUGUAUUCAACAUUUAUCUUUAUCGCACAGCACAAUUUUCUAUUUUUUUAAUUAUUUAGUUUUUAAGAUUUUCUGUGUUCUGCAUCACAACUGUGCAUGUAUUAAACACCUGUAGGUCCAUAUAUUGUCUUAUAGUAUAUACAUGUGUAAGAUUGGUCCAUAGUCUAUGGGGAGUUGUGUAAAAAACAACUCAUUUUAUUAUUACCAAAGUAUUGUUUAGUGUGUUUUUUUUUACGUCAUUGGCCAAUUCUUUAACAUGUUUUCUAAUAUUCUGAGGCUUUUAUUGUUGCAGUGCCAUUUCUUUGCGUUCUUUGACAUGACUUGCAUCUCAGGAAUGUUUAAAUAACCGCAAUCCAGGAGACUCAGGACAUUGUAUAAUUUCCAAAGAAGGGAGUAUCAUUUCCAGAGAAUUUCAAUAUCCACUCCUUAACCCUAAUUCAACAUCACGUGUAUUACAUUGUUGAUCAUGAAUUUACAAUUUUAACUAAUGUGUAUCUCCUGCAUUAUCUUUCAUCGUUGACUGGAUUAUCAUGUUAUGAAACGACCCACCAGUUUAUAUUUACAUUAUAAUCAUUGAUGUUGCAAUAAAUGUAAGCAUCACACCAACACUGCUUUUAUUUUUAGUUCAAGUUUAACUUAAAUGGUCACAGUUUUGUGUGUGUGUGUG